AGAGUUUGAUCCUGGCUCAGGAUGAACGCUAGCUACAGGCUUAACACAUGCAAGUCGAGGGGCAGCAUUUCAGUUUGCUUGCAAACUGGAGAUGGCGACCGGCGCACGGGUGAGUAACACGUAUCCAACCUGCCGAUAACUCGGGGAUAGCCUUUCGAAAGAAAGAUUAAUACCCGAUGGUAUAAUCAGACCGCAUGGUCUUGUUAUUAAAGAAUUUCGGUUAUCGAUGGGGAUGCGUUCCAUUAGGCAGUUGGUGAGGUAACGGCUCACCAAACCUUCGAUGGAUAGGGGUUCUGAGAGGAAGGUCCCCCACAUUGGAACUGAGACACGGUCCAAACUCCUACGGGAGGCAGCAGUGAGGAAUAUUGGUCAAUGGGCGCAGGCCUGAACCAGCCAAGUAGCGUGAAGGAUGACUGCCCUAUGGGUUGUAAACUUCUUUUAUAUGGGAAUAAAGUUUUCCACGUGUGGAAUUUUGUAUGUACCAUAUGAAUAAGGAUCGGCUAACUCCGUGCCAGCAGCCGCGGUAAUACGGAGGAUCCGAGCGUUAUCCGGAUUUAUUGGGUUUAAAGGGAGCGUAGGUGGACAGUUAAGUCAGUUGUGAAAGUUUGCGGCUCAACCGUAAAAUUGCAGUUGAUACUGGCUGUCUUGAGUACAGUAGAGGUGGGCGGAAUUCGUGGUGUAGCGGUGAAAUGCUUAGAUAUCACGAAGAACUCCGAUUGCGAAGGCAGCUCACUGGACUGCAACUGACACUGAUGCUCGAAAGUGUGGGUAUCAAACAGGAUUAGAUACCCUGGUAGUCCACACAGUAAACGAUGAAUACUCGCUGUUUGCGAUAUACAGUAAGCGGCCAAGCGAAAGCAUUAAGUAUUCCACCUGGGGAGUACGCCGGCAACGGUGAAACUCAAAGGAAUUGACGGGGGCCCGCACAAGCGGAGGAACAUGUGGUUUAAUUCGAUGAUACGCGAGGAACCUUACCCGGGCUUAAAUUGCAUUUGAAUAUAUUGGAAACAGUAUAGCCGUAAGGCAAAUGUGAAGGUGCUGCAUGGUUGUCGUCAGCUCGUGCCGUGAGGUGUCGGCUUAAGUGCCAUAACGAGCGCAACCCUUAUCUUUAGUUACUAACAGGUCAUGCUGAGGACUCUAGAGAGACUGCCGUCGUAAGAUGUGAGGAAGGUGGGGAUGACGUCAAAUCAGCACGGCCCUUACGUCCGGGGCUACACACGUGUUACAAUGGGGGGUACAGAAGGCAGCUACCUGGUGACAGGAUGCUAAUCCCAAAAGCCUCUCUCAGUUCGGAUCGAAGUCUGCAACCCGACUUCGUGAAGCUGGAUUCGCUAGUAAUCGCGCAUCAGCCAUGGCGCGGUGAAUACGUUCCCGGGCCUUGUACACACCGCCCGUCAAGCCAUGAAAGCCGGGGGUACCUGAAGUACGUAACCGCAAGGAGCGUCCUAGGGUAAAACUGGUAAUUGGGGCUAAGUCGUAACAAGGUAGCCGUACCGGAAGGUGCGGCUG
rnacentral:rRNA from 6 species